rfam:Sphingobacteriales bacterium 50-39 SCNpilot_cont_1000_p_scaffold_43, whole genome shotgun sequence.
AAACGCCGUAUACGGGCCCGUACGUACGGUGUUGUGAGGGGACAGGUAGCCAAUUAAUGACUACCUUCCCACUCGAU